rnacentral:rRNA from 1 species
GUGGGGAAUCUUCCGCAAUGGACGAAAGUCUGACGGAGCAACGCCGCGUGAGUGAUGAAGGUCUUCGGAUUGUAAAGCUCUGUUAAUCGGGACGAAAGAGCCUAGUGUGAAUAAUGCUAGGAAGUGACGGUACCGGAAUAGAAAGCCACGGCUAACUACGUGCCAGCAGCCGCGGUAAUACGUAGGUGGCAAGCGUUGUCCGGAAUUAGUGGGCGUAAAGCGCGCGCAGGCGGAUCUGCCAGUCUGUCUUAAAAGUUCGGGGCUUAACCCCGUGAUGGGAUGGAAACUACAGAUCGUGAGUAUCGGAGAGGAAAGUGGAAUUCCUAGUGUAGCGGUGAAAUGCGUAGAUAUUAGGAAGAACACCAGUGGCGAAGGCGACUUUCUGGACGAAAACUGACGCUGAGGCGCGAAAGCCAGGGGAGCGAACGGGAUUAGAAACCCUGGUAGUCC